CCCUUAUUAGAGUAACAAGUUAGAGGGCAAGUCUGGUGCCAGCAGCCGCGGUAAUUCCAGCUCUAAUAGCGUAUAUUAAUACUGUUGCAGUUAAAACGCUCGUAGUUGAACUUAGAAAUUAUUACAAGGUAUUUUGCUUGAUUGUAAAAUUCUUGCUUAAUUCUUAUCUACUAGAUACUCUAUUCUGUACUUAAUUGUAUGGAAUAUCACCUAGCCAGUGGAACUUUGGUGGAAUAAUGCCUUUUUAAUACCAGAGUGUAAAUACUUGAAGUGUUAUCAAGGGAUCACAUUAUUUUAUUGAAGUGGGGUUCUAGUUAUUUUACUUUGAGUAAAUUAGAGUGUUCAAAGCAGCCUUUAGGGGCUUUGAAUAGAUUUAGCAUGGGAUAAUAGAAAAGGAUUUGAUGAUCCAUUUGUUGGUUUGAAUUAAUCAAAUAAUGAUUAAUAGGGACAGUUGGGGGC
rnacentral:rRNA from 1 species